rnacentral:rRNA from 1 species
AACGAACGCUGGCGGCAUGCCUAACACAUGCAAGUCGAACGAGACCUUCGGGUCUAGUGGCGCACGGGCGCGUAACGCGUGGGAACCUGCCCUUAGGUUCGGAAUAACUCCCCGAAAGGGGUGCUAAUACCGGAUAAUGUCUUCGGACCAAAGAUUUAUCGCCUUUGGAUGGGCCUGCGUUGGAUUAGCUAGUUGGUAGGGUAAAAGCCUACCAAGGCGACGAUCCAUAGCUGUUCUGAGAGGAUGAUCAGCCACACUGGGACUGAGACACGGCCCAGACUCCUACGGGAGGCAGCAGUAGAGAAUAUUGGACAAUGGGCGAAAGCCUGAUCCAGCAAUGCCGCGUGAGUGAUGAAGGCCUUAGGGUUGUAAAGCUCUUUUACCCGGGAUGAUAAUGACAGUACCGGGAGAAUAAGCUCCGGCUAACUCCGUG